rnacentral:misc_RNA from 1 species
GAUAUAUAUAAAAAAAAAACUAUAUGUUCACUAGCUAUAUCUAUGUGCUGCUGCUUUGUCACAGAAACAAAUCAAAACCCUGAUAGAUAAAAGAGUUGACAUGGCAGAAAGAUAUCUCACUUAGCUUGAUGCAGCAUGUAGCAUGGAAAAGGAUCAACACAUGAUCAAACCCUUGAAAAUGAACAAGAUCUAAUCUAAGAUCUUA